GCUUUGUAAAGGUCCCAGUAAGACGCUUUACUCUUUACCCCCUUUUCUGGGAUUUUUUUAGAUCAACAUGUCUGUCCUUUGCUGUUGCUGUAUCUCAGCUACUUCAGAAGAGCGGGAACCCCUUCCUGUAAAUACAAGGCAGCCCUGUCGAAACAUUGGGGUCUUCAAUAAGGAGGGGAAGCUCAUGAUGAAGCUGGUAAAUGUACGUGCCGUUGACACCCUGUUCUCCGACAUCGCCAACACUUUCAACAAGCAGCACGAUGAUCAC